rnacentral:lncRNA from 1 species
CGUCAGGUGUGUAUCGCCUCUCUCAGGUGAAGAAGUAUUUAACUCAGGUGUGUUUCUCCUCUCUACAGGUGUAGAAGUAUUUAACUCAGGUGUGUUCUCCGCUACGAGGUGUAGAAAGUAUUUAACUCAGUGUGUUCUCCUCUCUACAGGUGUAGAUGUAUUUAACUCAGGUGUAGAAGUAUUUAACUCAGGUGUGUUCUCCUCUCUACAGGUGUAGAAGUAUUUAACUCAGGUGUGUUCUUCCUCUCCUCUCUACAGGUGUAGAGGUAUUUAACUCAGGUGUGUUCUCCUCU